rnacentral:rRNA from 1 species
GACGAACGCUGGCGGCGUGCUUAACACAUGCAAGUCGAGCGAUGAAAGCCUUAUGAACUAUUCGUAGUGAUUGGGGCCGGAUUAGCGGCGGACGGGUGAGUAACGCGUGAGCAACCUGCCUUAAACAACGGGAUAGCCUCGGGAAACCGGGAUUAAUACCGUAUGAGACCCCGCCUUCACAUGAAGAAGAGGUUAAAGAUUUAUCGGUUUAAGAUGGGCUUGCGUCUGAUUAGCUAGUUGGUGAGAUAAAAGCCCACCAAGGCAACGAUCAGUAACCGGCUUGAGAGAGUGAACGGUCACAUUGGAACUGAGACACGGUCUAAACUCCUACGGGAGGCAGCAGUGGGGAAUAUUGCACAAUGGGGGAAACCCUGAUGCAGCGACGCCGCGUGAGCGAUGAAGGAAUUCGUUUCGUAAAGCUCUGUCCAAGGGGAAGAUAAUGACAGUACCCUUGGAGGAAGCCCCGGCUAAAUACGUGCCAGCAGCCGCCGUAAUAC